UAACUUGUAAAGAAAUAGCUAAAGAAUAUUGUUUUGUUGUAAGUUCUCCUAUAUUUCAUUUCAUAUUCUUCAGCUUUUCUGGAUCAUACUAAGUGUACAACUGAGCUAAUUUAGUGUACUUAACUUUACAACUAACCAAGUGGAACUAUCCUCUACUACCUUCGUGUGGUUUGGUUUGUUAUAAUAUCCCCCCCAAUGAAGACUCGAAGAAUGUAGAUGGCAAUUAAUUAAUUGCUUUUUAAGCGCCAUCUGAUAGAAAUAGUGAAACAAUCGGCCCCACACCUUGAAAUGAUGGUGCCAACGUUUGACGUUCUUAUCACAUUCGCAUCUAACAUCAAACGACAGCUGUCAGAUUUCGAUAUUUAACGUUGCUUUCUGCAAUGAUAAAGCGUGCCGCACAGGACGUUGUGCGAAUAUUUGCAAAGCACUUGUGUGUUAUCUAGUGUAUUUGUCUGCGAUAACGAACUGCGGUGAGAUUGAUGCAAUUCGAUGCUACUGAAUAGGUUUUUAUGGUGGAAUUGCAAUUUGCAGACAGAUGUUGCAAAAGGUUCUUAAUGAGUGACACAUCCUGUCGUUGAGCGAAGCAAAAAAUGUAUUCCGACGACAGCAAAACGUUAACAGUGCAGACGCAAUCGACCUUAUCGUGUGCAUUAGCGACAUUGCUGAAGAAUUUAACACUCAUCCUUAUCGCUGCGCUCGGUUAACAAUUGAACGAAACACUGACAUCACCAUUCACAAACGAGUCGAUACACUUGAGCCAUUGAAAAGCUUGAUUCAAGUUUUGUUAAAAUAAAUUCUACUGUACAUACUGUUCGGUCAC